rnacentral:rRNA from 1 species
AGCGAACGCUGGCGGCAGGCCUAAUACAUGCAAGUCGAACGGUCUCUUCGGAGGCAGUGGCGGACGGGUGAGUAACGCGUGGGAAUAUGCCCUUUGGUACGGAACAACUGAGGGAAACUUCAGCUAAUACCGUAUGUGCCCUUCGGGGGAAAGAUUUAUCGCCAUUGGAGUAGCCCGCGUUGGAUUAGGUAGUUGGUGGGGUAAAGGCCUACCAAGCCUACGAUCCAUAGCUGGUCUGAGAGGAUAAUCAGCCACACUGGGACUGAGACACGGCCCAGACUCCUACGGGAGGCAGCAGUAGGGAAUCUUGCGCAAUGGGCGAAAGCCUGACGCAGCCAUGCCGCGUGAAUGAUGAAGGUCUUAGGAUUGUAAAAUUCUUUCACCGGGGAAGAUAAUGACGGUACCCGGAGAAGAAGCCCCGGCUAACUUCGUGCCAGCAGCCGCGGUAAU